GAAGCGAACCGGAUGGCCGCGGAGCAUUGCUUCGAGGAAAGUCCGGGCUCCACAGGGCAGGGUGCUGGGUAACGCCCAGGGGAAGCGAUUCCACGGAAAGUGCCACAGAAAACAAACCGCCUGCGCCAUCGCGAGAUGGGCGGGUAAGGGUGAAAAGGUGAGGUAAGAGCUCACCGGGCGCCCGGCGACGGACGCCGCACGGCAAACCCCACCCGGAGCAAGACCAAAUAGGGGAAGAGAGGCGGCCCGUCUCGCCCGAUUCCCGGGUAGGUUGCUCGAGGCCGCCGGCAACGGCGGUCCCAGAUAAAUGGCCAUCCCUCCCCGCGGGGAGGACAGAACCCGGCUUACAGGUUCGCUUCCCUU
rnacentral:RNase_P_RNA from 1 species